AGCGCCGCUUCUGUUGGUAAACCCUAGUUCACCGCAUCUAGGGCGCCGCAUCUUCUGCCUCCAGUUGACGAAAGUAUUGUACGGAUUCAAUGGGAACUGAAGAAUGCUGGUUAAAUCUUGAUAGCAUGGUGAUUGUUCAUAGGAAUCUAUCACCAUGCGGAAGAUGAAAUCUGCGAAAGUGAUGCAGGUGAAACAUUUCCAUGCAUGGGCCCACAACACGGACUCUAGCAUCUUGCGCCCGAAUACAGGGAAUGGGUAUACCGUGUUUCUCUUGAUGACAUUGGCAGGAAAGCCACACUUGAUAAGCUGUUGGAAGAUUACAUAAGCCUUAUUUCAAGAGUUUAAUUUCAGAUACCGAGUUCUCAAGAAACCCCGCAAGAGUCUACCCGCACACCCACCCCUCUUGCUGCUGUUCAACAAACACUGGUGGCAACUAAUCUAGUGACUGAUGAACCUCGAUCAACCCCUCCACCACUGUCUCUUAAACCCAGUGGAAGUAAGUCCUCUACUAAAGCUCGAGCUCAAGUUCAAGCUCGUAACGAUAUGCCUGGCACUGGAACCAGUAGGAAGAAUAAGCUAGACCGUUAUGCACCCAGAAUGACAGUUGAAGAAUUUGAUAGCAUCUUUAAGCGGUGUUCUUUCAAUUCUUUAAAAUACUAGCACCUACUAUACAUAAACUGAAGCAUAGAUGAUUUUAUUUAUGCGUAACAAACAAAUUCGUUCCUGCCGUGAUUCUUUGACUGUGUGAAUGAGAUGGUUACUCCAUUGUUUGAGAAAUCAUUGACUGCUACAGAUACCGGGACGAGUGGGCGCCUUGUGCUGCCAAAAAACUGUGCUGAGGUUAGCAUCAGUGGCUUGUUGACGUGGUUUCUGGAAUCCCAAGGAUGAAACUACGGGUGGUUGUGGACCCAACAAUGCGGUUUGUUGAUGUGGUUUUUGGACUCCCACGGAUGGUGUUCUUCAAGAAUCGGAAAUAUUUAGUUUGGCACAGAAAGGUGAGAAGCUAUAUGGGAAUGGAUUAAAACUUUCUGAACCUUGUGAUGAUUGAUUAUGAUUUGAAGAUUAGUUUUAAUGACAAUUAGAUAGUUGGUUGUGAUGAUUGAUUAAGAUUUUACGUUUUCCAGAAGUAUACACCAUUUUAUAAUUUUAUGUGUAUCUUGUAAUUGAUUCCUAUAAUAGAUGUAACAUUUAA